rnacentral:rRNA from 1 species
GUACGGGGGAAACCCUGAUGCAGCCAUGCCGCGUGUGUGAAGAAGCCGUUCGGGUUGUAAAGCACUUUCAGUAGGGAGGAAGGUAGUGUAGUUAACACCUGCAUUAUUUGACGUUACCUACAGAAGAAGCACCGGCUAACUCCGUGCCAGCAGCCGCGGUAAUACGGAGGGUGCGAGCGUUAAUCGGAAUUACGUGGGACGUAAAGACGCAUGCAGGCGGCCUGUUAAGUCAGAUGUAGAAAGGACCCGGGGACCGUUUAACCGUACCGGUAAAGUUGCUAUUUAGUAAACGUAGGCGAGGCUAGAGUCUUGUAGAGGGGGUAGGAAUUUCAGGUGUAGCGGUGAAAUGCGUAGAGAUCUGAAGGAAUACCAGUGGCGAAGGCGGCCCCCUGGACAAAGACUGACGCUCAGAUGCGAAAGCGUGGGGAGCAAACAGGAUUAGAUACCCUGGUAG